UGAUGACGUAAUUUCCUCUCAUCCAACGGCUGCUGCUGACAGCCACAAUGAUGCCGGGGAAGAAAUGAUCGGAAAUAAAACAUCCAUUGGAGACUGUGUAUUUCAAAAUGAAGUGGGAGUUCUGCGCGUGCUCAUCAUUCGAACUAUAACGGUCAUCUAGCACUGGACGCCGAGGAAAAGGGAUAAGCAUUUCAACACAGCCACAUCACCAAAUGGCAUUACACACUGUCCUUCCUGUGUGUUUGGCUUUUUCAGAGCCUGCACGGACAAGUCUGAUGAGUGGAGAUGUUGCUGUGGCCCUCUUUACAGACGAUACAAAUUUCAUUACCAACCUGUGAAAAUCUCAUGUCAUUAUGGAAAUGUGACUCAAGUUGUUAUAGCUCUAAAUACAACACAGUUACAAAAGAGAUUAAUAAAUAUUGUGUUAAUUGUACUUAAUAGUGACUCUCACUACUUUGUGUACUUUCAGGUUCUAUGAACUUCAUGCCAUGGGAACUGUGAUUGAGUAACUUUUUAUUUAUUUAUUUAUGAACAAAUCUGAAAUGGCACAUUCCCAGUUAUUAUAGAGAUAGUUCACUCAAAAUGAAAAUUCUGUAAUUAAUUACUCACCCUCAUGUCGUUCAAAACCCAUAAGAUCUUCAUUCAUCUUUGGAACACAAAAUAAGAUAUUUUUGAUGAAAUCCGAGAGCUUUCUGACCCUGCAUAGGCAGCAAUGCAACUGAAAUGUUUAAAAAUAUCUCAAUUUGUGUUCCGAAGAAGAACGAAGAUCUUACUAAGAUCUAUUUGGAACAACAUGAGGGUGAGUAAUUAAUGACAGAAUUUUCAUUUUUGGACAAACUAUCCCUUUAAGAUUUAUAUAAAUGCUUUAGAUGUAGUUAUUCUUUUUAAAUUCUUCAUAAUAUGAAUAGUGUAUAAGGAUUGCUUAAUAAAACGUAAUGGAAUUUUACUAUACAACUGAGGUCUUAAACAGAAUUAAAUAUUUUUUGAGUGUACUGUAUAUUGUGCAUGAGUUAAAUAUUGAUUAGAGUUUUUAAAGUCAUUUCACAAUGACAUUGCAACACAAGCAGGUUUAUAAUAUACGCUUCACAUGGGAUUCACAAGUUUCACAUGGGAAUUUACAUGUAUUUCACAUGUUAUCUCAUGGGUUUCA